rnacentral:rRNA from 1 species
UACGUAGGGGGCAAGCGUUGUCCGGAAUCAUUGGGCGUAAAGAGCGCGUAGGCGGCCCUGUAAGUCCGCUGUGAAAGUCAAGGGCUCAACCCUUGGAUGCCGGUGGAUACUGCAGGGCUAGAGUCCGGAAGAGGCGAGUGGAAUCCUGGUGUAGCGGUGGAAUGCGCAGAUAUCAGGAGGAACACCGGUGGCGAAGGCGGGUCUCUGGGCCGAUAUUGACGCUGAGGAGCGAAAGCGUGGGGAGCAAACAGG